GUGUCCUAAAGUUGCAUCAAUUAAUUGAUCGAUCUUCAACAAAGAAAAACUGUUCUUCGAACAAGCUUCAUUUAGAUUUGUAUAGUCGAUGUAGAUUCUUCAUUUUUCAUUAAUUUUUCUCACCAUCACUACAUUGGCGAGCCAAUCGAGAUAAUUAGCUUCUCUGAUGAAGCCAGUCGCAAGAAGUUUGUCGACUUCUUCAUCGAUGAC
rnacentral:lncRNA from 1 species